rnacentral:rRNA from 1 species
AUUGAACGCUGGCGGCAGGCCUAACACAUGCAAGUCGAACGGUAACAGGAAACAGCUUGCUGUUUCGCUGACGAGUGGCGGACGGGUGAGUAAUGUCUGGGAAACUGCCUGAUGGAGGGGGAUAACUACUGGAGACGGUAGCUAAUACCGCAUAACGUCGCAAGACCAAAGAGGGGGACCUUCGGGCCUCUUGCCAUCGGAUGUGCCCAGAUGGGAUUAGCUAGUAGGUGGGGUAACGGCUCACCUAGGCGACGAUCCCUAGCUGGUCUGAGAGGAUGACCAGCCACACUGGAACUGAGACACGGUCCAGACUCCUACGGGAGGCAGCAGUGGGGAAUAUUGCACAAUGGGCGCAAGCCUGAUGCAGCCAUGCCGCGUGUAUGAAGAAGGCCUUCGGGUUGUAAAGUACUUUCAGCGGGGAUGAAGGGAGUAAAGUUAAUACCUUUGCUCAUUGACGUUACCCGCAGAAGAAGCACCGGCUAACUCCGUG